UGCUCUCUCUGCACCUAGUAACCAGAGCGGUUCACUCUUCCUUGGAGGCCCACAACUGUUCCUGGUCAUCACACCUAGACUUUGAGAAGAAACCAAGAAUGGAGGACCAGCCCUGAGCUAACAUCCAAUGCCAGUCCUCCCCUUUUUUGCUGAGGAAGACUGGUCCUGGGCUAACAUCCAUGCCCAUCCUCCUCUACUUUAUAUGGGACGCCACCACAGCAUGGCCUAACAAGCAGUGUGUCAGUGCACACCCGGGAUCCGAACCGGUGAACCCCGGGCCGCAGCAGCAGAGCACGUGCACUUAACCGUUUGCGCCACCAGGCCGGCCCCAGUAGUUCAUUCUUUUUAUUGCUGUGUAGUAUUCCAUUGUAGAAUAUUCCAUGGAAUAUUUCACAAUUUAUUUAUUCAUUCUCUUAUUGAUGGAUAUUUGGUUUGGUCCCAGUUUUUGGCUAUUAUGAAUAAAGCUGUAAUAAACAUUCUUGUAUAUGG